rnacentral:piRNA from 1 species
UACAAAAAUUAGCUGGGUGUGGUGUU